rnacentral:rRNA from 1 species
GACGGAGGGGGCUAGCGUUGUUCGGAAUUACUGGGCGUAAAGAGCACGUAGGCGGCGGUGCAAGUUGGGGGUGAAAUCCCGGGGCUCAACCCCGGAACUGCCUUUAAUACUGGGUAUCUCGAGUUCGAGAGAGGUGAGUGGAAUUCCGAGUGUAGAGAUGAAAUGCGUAGAUAUUCGGAGGAACACCAGCGGCGAAGGCGGCUCACUGGCUCGAUACUGACGCUGAGGUGCGAAAGCGUGGGGAGCAAACAGG